AUUGAACGCUGGCGGCAGGCCUAACACAUGCAAGUCGAGCGGAUGAUGGGAGCUUGCUCCUGGAUUCAGCGGCGGACGGGUGAGUAAUGCCUAGGAAUCUGCCUGGUAGUGGGGGACAACGUUUCGAAAGGAACGCUAAUACCGCAUACGUCCUACGGGAGAAAGCAGGGGACCUUCGGGCCUUGCGCUAUCAGAUGAGCCUAGGUCGGAUUAGCUUGUUGGUGAGGUAAUGGCUCACCAAGGCGACGAUCCGUAACUGGUCUGAGAGGAUGAUCAGUCACACUGGAACUGAGAAACGGUCCGGACUCCUACGGGAGGCAGCAGUGGGGAAUAUUGGACAAUGGGCGAAAGCCUGAUCCAGCCAUGCCGCGUGUGUGAAGAAGGUCUUCGGAUUGUAAAGCACUUUAAGUUGGGAGGAAGGGUUGUAGAUUAAUACUCUGCAAUUUUGACGUUACCGACAGAAUAAGCACCGGCUAACUACGUGCCAGCCGCCGCAGUAAAAC
rnacentral:rRNA from 1 species